rnacentral:rRNA from 1 species
UACGUAGGGGGCAAGCGUUGUUCGGAAUCAUUGGGCGUAAAGGGCGCGUAGGUGGUUCUGUAUGUCUACCGUGAAAGCAUACAGCUCAACUGUAUUUUGUCGGUAGAAACUGCAGGACUUGAGGCUGGGAGGGGCUGGUGGAAUUCCCUGUGUAGCGGUGAAAUGCGUAGAGAUGGGGGAGAACACUCGUGGCGAAGGCGGCCAGCUAGACCAGUUCUGACACUGAGGCGCGACAGCGUGGGGAGCAAACAGG